GGACAUGGGUUUUGAACCCCAGAUUAGAAAGAUUGUAAAGGAGGUACCUGCUCGCCGGCAGACUUUAAUGUACACAGCUACUUGGCCAAAAGAAGUUCGAAAAAUUGCAUCAGAUCUGCUUGUUAAUCCUAUUCAAGUCAAUAUUGGCAAUGUUGAUGAGCUUGUUGCCAACAAGUCCAUCACUCAGCAUAUUGAAGCAUUAGCACCACUGGAGAAGCAUAGACGAUUGGAGCAGAUAUUGAGAUCUCAAGAACCAGGAUCAAAAGUGAUAAUCUUUUGUUCUACAAAGAAAAUGUGUGAUCAGCUUGCUCGCAAUCUUACACGCCAAUUUGGAGCUGCUGCAAUUCAUGGAGACAAAUCCCAGGGUGAGAGAGAUCACGUUCUUGGUCAAUUUCGCACGGGGAGGACUCCUGUGCUUGUCGCCACUGAUGUUGCAGCUCGAGGAUUGGAUAUUAAAGACAUCAGGGUUGUUAUCAACUAUGAUUUCCCAUCCGGAGUGGAGGAUUAUGUUCAUAGGAUUGGUCGAACUGGAAGAGCAGGUGCUACUGGCAUUGCUUACACAUUCUUUGGUGAGCAGGACGCCAAGUAUGCUUCAGAUCUGAUUAAAAUUUUGGAGGGAGCUAACCAGCGAGUCCCACCAGAACUUCGUGAUAUGGCUUCUCGAAGUUAUGGAAUGUCCAAGUUUAGACGUUGGGGUUCUGGCUCUGAUGGUCGUGAUGGUGGUCGAGGUGGACGCAAUGAUUCAAACUAUGGUGGGAGGGGUGGACGGGGUAUGUCUUCCUUUUCUUCCGCCAAGCCAGAACGAAGUGGUGGCCGUGGGUAUGACUUCGACUCACGAGAGAGGAAUGAUGGAUACAAUCGCGGGCGCAGUCGGAGUCCUCCAAGGGGUGUGGGAGGUGACCGAACUAAAAGUUGGAACCGCGAACACAGUCCGCCCAGUUGGAGCCCUGACAGGUCUGCACCAGCACGUGACCGCUCUCCAGUGCGGAGUUUUCACCAAGCAAUGAUGGAGCGUAGCAACAUUCCAUCUCGGGGAACUGAAAAUGGUAGUAAGAAUGGUUUGGGAAGCUGGAACCAAGUCCGAAGUCGCAGCCGUAGCCGGAGCCGAAGCCCUAAUCGUUUUAACCGGGCUCCUGCGAUACGAGAACGUUCUCCAGUUUCGGGCUUUCAUAAAACAAUAUUGGAAAAGGGAAACUCUGGAGGCACACACGACUACCCAGAUAAGGAUUUGAGAAAAUCGCCCAGUAGUAGAAUGGAUGGGGGAGGAUACGAAAAGAGUUCUCGCUCCUCAUAUCCUCGAGAAGAAGAUGAGGAAGGCAUGAUCCCGCAAGAUGAACAAGGUAAGGGAGCAGCAGAAUGAUGAAUGAAAAUAUCAUCCCCAAGGCCACUUCUUCUUGAAAGGGAAAAGGUCAGUAGUCAAUGGAGGUUAGUUAGUUACACCCUUUUGGGUACCAUAUGUGCUCCUCUCUGAUUAUAUUGUGGAAACUAUAAAGAAGACCCAAAUAUUUUAUGCUGUCUAAAGUUCCAAUUUCCAUACCUCCCAACUUUUUGGUGCAAAAGAAAGGGUGUUUAUUAUAGGAGUUGUGUGUUUUACAAGGUUAGUGUGCCUGAAUCCUCUUGAUAUUUGAUGAAACAGGCUUUUAUAUAUUUUUUUUUGGGGUGGAGGUAAAAGGUUUUGAAUUUGACUACAUGAUAUGGACAUGUAUGGAAGGUUGUAAUAGAAGACUUAAAUUGUAAAUGUAGUGAUGUCUGUCUCAAUGAGAUGUACAUGUUAAACUGUUAAGGGAGUAAAAUCAGUGCUCUCUUCAAAACAUUUUGGUCACUUCUGUUGUUGUUAGACUUUGAGAAUGG
rnacentral:misc_RNA from 1 species